rnacentral:tRNA from 3 species
GGGCUAUUAGCUCAGUGGUAGAGCGCGCCCCUGAUAAGCGAGGUCUCUGGUUCAAGUCCAGGAUGGCCCAGC